rnacentral:tRNA from 1 species
GGGUUGUAGCUCAGUGGUAGAGUGCUCACCUGGCAUGUGGAAAUCACUGGGUUCAAUCCUCAGCACCAUUCA